ACGAACGCUGGCGGCAUGCCUAACACAUGCAAGUCGAACGAGACCUUCGGGUCUAGUGGCGCACGGGUGCGUAACGCGUGGGAACCUGCCCUUAGGUUCGGAAUAACUCCCCGAAAGGGGUGCUAAUACCGGAUAAUGUCUCCGGACCAAAGAUUUAUCGCCUUUGGAUGGGCCCGCGUUGGAUUAGCUAGUUGGUAGGGUAAAAGCCUACCAAGGCGACGAUCCAUAGCUGGUCUGAGAGGAUGAUCAGCCACACUGGGACUGAGACACGGCCCAGACUCCUACGGGAGGCAGCAGUGGGGAAUAUUGGACAAUGGGCGAAAGCCUGAUCCAGCAAUGCCGCGUGAGUGAUGAAGGCCUUAGGGUUGUAAAGCUCUUCUACCCGGGAUGAUAAUGACAGUACCGGGAGAAUAAGCUCCGGCUAACUCCGUG
rnacentral:rRNA from 1 species